rnacentral:lncRNA from 1 species
AAUUGGACAAAGGAGGACUUUUACCAAAUUAAGAUUAUUCAUUCAUUUUGGGAGAUGGAAUGUACAUUCCAUCUCCAAUGAUCUUAACAUAACAAAGUCAAAUCAACCUUGACCAAGGCCCAACAACACAAGUCAAACUUACAAAGUCAAUCAAAAUGGCUCAACAUAAUUAUUUGGCAUUUAUUCAAUUUAAAAAUACUAAAAAUAAUGCAUUAAAUUCAAUAUGGUUGGUCAAUUUCCUAAAACCUUAUCAAAACACCAAAGAAAU